GGGGACGUAAAGGCUUCGACGGGGGUGCUGAAGCCGGGAUAGCGGGCGGCAGUGAGGACGCUGCCUUAAAAGCCUCAACUUGUUUAUAAAUUAAACAACAACAAUACUACUCUUCUGGCUGCCUAAUUACGGCUGGCCCGUCAUCCCCGAGAGUACCGCGGCUCGGGUGCAUGGCGUCGAUUAGCGGUGAACGUGUACGGGUUAAGAGUUGCGCCCGUCAUGUAAAAUGACUCUACGAAAGCAGUGAGCCUGUUUGCCGGCGCACUGUGGCAGGAAUGUUAGUUGACAAACUGCGCCCGGAGAAAUCCUUGUGGAUGUGCUUUCGGACAGGGGUUCAAUUCCCCUCGUCUCCACCA
rfam:Butyricicoccus pullicaecorum 1.2 genomic scaffold acBRa-supercont1.3, whole genome shotgun sequence.